rnacentral:rRNA from 1 species
UACGUAGGGGGCAAGCGUUGUCCGGAUUUAUUGGGCGUAAAGAGCGUGUAGGCGGUUCGGUAGGUCCGUUGUGAAAACUCGAGGCUCAACCUCGAGACGCCGAUGGAAACCCUCGAACUAGAGUCCGGAAGAGGAGAAUGGAAUUCCAGGUGUAGUGGUGAAAUACGUAGAUAUCUGGAGGAACACCGGUGGCGAAGGCGGCUACCUGGCCAUGUACUGACGCUGAGAUACGAAAGCGUGGGGAGCAAACAGG